CGCGCCAAAGCUUCAGAUCUUGGUGAUUUCAUGAAACAGCUCCACCUGGAAGACGAAGACUUUGAUGAUUUGGUGAUUGAAGAGGACGAUCCGGCGGUUAAUGAAGGUGUACGCUGGCUAGCCCUUGCUAGGGUUCAUACAGCAAAAACCUUCAGCCCGACGGCUUUCUACAAGGACAUGCGUGCUGCUUGGAACACGGCGAAACCCGUGAGGUUCAGACCCGUCGGACCAAAUGUCUUCGUGGUGCAGGCAGUGUGCCUUGGCGAUUGGGAACGCAUGGUGGAUCAAGGGCCAUGGCUCUUCAGGAAUAUGGUGGUGCUUAUGGCACCGUAUGAUGGUUUCACGAAGCUGGAGGAGGUGCCCGUGCUGUUUAUGCCGAUUUGGCUCCAAAUUCACAAGCUACCUGAGGGUUUUUGUAAGAAGAAUAUAGUGGAAUCUUUGUUAAGGAACUCCGGUGAUAUUCUGGAGAUGAGGCUGAACGGGAAUACAUGUGGCGAUUAUGUGAGGGUUAGGGUUCGGCAUGAUAUCCAAAAACCCCUCACGAAGUUUGUAAGCAUUGUCAGAGGAAAGGAGAGGCAAGUGUUCUUAGUUCGCUAUGAAAAAUUAGCCCGUUCUGCAGCGUUUGUGGUCUAA
rnacentral:rRNA from 1 species